GACGAACGCUGGCGGCGUGCUUAACACAUGCAAGUCGAACGAAGUGGCGAACGGUUGAGUAACGCGUAAUCAACCUGCCCUUCAGAGGGGGACAACCGUUGGAAACGACUGCUAAUACCGCAUACUGAAGGACGGGAUUGCGUCUGAUUAGCUAGUUGGAGGGGUAACGGCCCACCAAGGCGAUGAUCAGUAGGCGGGCGGAGAGGAUGAACGGCCACAUUGGGACUGAGACACGGCCCAGACUCCUACGGGAGGCAGCAGUGGGGAAUCUUCCGCAAUGGACGAAAGUCUGACGGAGCAACGCCGCGUGAGGGAUGACGGCCUUCGGGUUGUAAAGCUCUGUUAAUCGGGACGCGGUACCGGAAUAGAAAGCCACGGCUAACUACGUGCCAGCAGCCGCGGUAAUUC
rnacentral:rRNA from 1 species